UACGGAGGGUGCAAGCGUUAUCCGGAUUUACUGGGUUUAAAGGGUGCGUAGGUGGGUAGGUAAGUCAGUGGUGAAAUCUUCGAGCUUAACUCGGAAACUGCCAUUGAUACUAUCUGUCUUGAAUACUUUGGAGGUAAGCGGAAUAUGUCAUGUAGCGGUGAAAUGCUUAGAUAUGACAUAGAACACCAAUUGCGAAGGCAGCUUACUACACAGUCAUUGACACUGAGGCACGAAAAGCGUGGGGGAUCAAAACAGG
rnacentral:rRNA from 1 species